ACAACCAUAUCAUGUUGAAACAUCGGUUUCCAUAUGAUCACCAAAGUUAAGCAACAUUGAGCCUAGUCAGUUCCUAGAUAGUUGGCUGCUUGGGAAUACCAAGUGCUAUA